rnacentral:rRNA from 1 species
AUUGAACGCUGGCGGCAUGCCUUACACAUGCAAGUCGAACGGCAGCACGGGAGCAAUCCUGGUGGCGAGUGGCGAACGGGUGAGUAAUAUAUCGGAACGUGCCCAGUCGUGGGGGAUAACGUAGCGAAAGCUACGCUAAUACCGCAUACGAUCUACGGAUGAAAGCGGGGGAUCGCAAGACCUCGCGCGAUUGGAGCGUCCGAUAUCAGAUUAGCUAGUUGGUGGGGUAAAAGCUCACCAAGGCGACGAUCUGUAGCUGGUCUGAGAGGACGACCAGCCACACUGGAACUGAGACACGGUCCAGACUCCUACGGGAGGCAGCAGUGGGGAAUUUUGGACAAUGGGGAAACCCUGAUCCAGCCAUGCCGCGUGCAGGAUGAAGGCCUUCGGGUUGUAAACUGCUUUUGUACGGUAACGAAAAGGUCUUUUCUAAUUAAAGAAGGACUCAUGACGGUACCGUAAGAAUAAGCACCGGCUAACUACGUGCCAGCAGCCGAC